rnacentral:rRNA from 1 species
UACGAACCGUACGAACGUUAUUCGGAAUCACUGGGCUUAAAGGGUGCGUAGGCGGCCAUGUAAGUGAGGUGUGAAAUCCCUCGGCUCAACCGAGGAACUGCGCUUCAUACUGCAUGGCUUGAGGGAGACAGGGGUAAGCGGAACUGAUGGUGGAGCGGUGAAAUGCGUUGAUAUCAUCAGGAACACCGGUGGCGAAAGCGGCUUACUGGGUCUCUUCUGACGCUGAGACGCGAAAGCGUGGGGAGCGAACAGG